rnacentral:rRNA from 1 species
CAGUAGCCACGGGAAUACAGAGGGUGCAAGCGUUAAUCGGAUUUACUGGGCGUAAAGGGCGCGUAGGUGGUUAUUUAAGUGAGAUGUGAAAGCCCCGGGCUUAACCUGGGAACUGCAUCUUAUACUGGGUAACUGGAGUGCAGUAGAGGGUAGUGGAAUUUCCGGUGUAGCGGUGAAAUGCGUGGAUAUCGGAAGGAACACCAGUGGCGAAGGCGGCUACCUGGACUGAGACUGACACUGAGGCGCGAGAGCGUGGGGAGCAAACAGGAUUAGAUACCCGCGUAGUCCUGUCUCUUAUACC